rnacentral:lncRNA from 1 species
GCAGACAAUGGUGAGAAAAAAAAAGCCCGAGGUCAAUACAAUGGGGAAAAGCCUGUGAAGUGACCUGGCAGCAGCCACACCUGCUGUCACCUCCAUUCCCCUCUCAUCUUGGAAACAGAUUUGCCCUUUACAACUCAACUCAUAGCUCACCCGCCUUCAGAGACUUCUUGGCCCAUCUUAGCUGGAAGGGAUCUGUUCCAGCGCUGAGCUUUUAUUUUGCUUAGCAUCUACUCAGAUGCCUUGACUGUGUGCGUCUCACAGUCCUACUGACUGACAAACUCCCUGGGGGCCGAGAUGGCAUGGAUUCAGGUCUCAGAUGCUCUAUGGCACCUGGGAGCAUCUUACACAGGUGAAGUGCUCAGUGAUGAUCUGGGGUCACUAUUCUCUGCAGAUCAGCAUGUCUGAGAGGUAGGGGCUCACAGCCUGUGGAACUGGUGUAAGACCUUUGUCUUUUCCCGGCUACUAACAGGUCCUGCUUGUCACAGCCCUUCCAUGAUACAAAGUUAAGUCAUUUUGUGUCUGACACAGGCAAAGGAAAACGACAGGCCCUUGCCUUCCUGGUCCUCAAGGGUCAGCUGUAAGAUGAUGUCAUAAAGCCGGAUCAGGUCCUGGGGCCGGGGGAAGCACUUGCUGUCAUCCUCUGGCUGCUGCUGCAGCAGAGCCCUCUGCAGACCUUUGGCCAUGCUCUCAUUACGCUUGAUUGCCAUUGACAGCUUGAUGUAAGUCAGGUGGACAAAUAGAAGCUGAGGGUGAAGGACCUACAGCUGUCACCUUCAUCUCUUCUCAACACUGCCAACUGUCCCCUUGGAUCUCCCA